rnacentral:rRNA from 1 species
GUUUGAUCAUGGCUCAGAACAAACGCUGGCGGCGUGCCUAACACAUGCAAGUCGUACGAGAAAGGGUCCUUCGGGACCUGAGUAAAGUGGCGCACGGGUGAGUAACGCGUGGAUAAUCUGCCCUUCAGUUGGGAAUAACUCAUCGAAAGGUGGGCUAAUACCGAAUAAUACUGUGAGACCUCGGUCGAUCAGCCAAAGAGAGCCUCUGCUUGCAUGCCCUCGCUGAAGGAUGAGUCCGCGUACCAUUAGCUAGUUGGUAGGGUAAUGGCCUACCAAGGCGACGAUGGUUAGCUGGUCUGAGAGGAUGAUCAGCCACACUGGAAUUGAGAUACGGCCCAGACUCCUACGGGAGGCAGCAGUCGAGGAUAGUCUACAAUGGUCGAAAGGUUGAUAGUGCGACGCCGCGUGAACGAAGAAGCAUUUCGGUGUGUAAAGUUCUUUUCCAUGGGAGCAGGGGCCUGGUGGUUAACAGCGACCGGGUCUUGAUAUUACCAUGGGAAUAAGCCACGGCUAACUCCGUGCCAGCAGCCGCGGUAAUACGGGGGUGGCGAGCGUUGUCCGGAAUUACUAGGCGUAAAGGGCAGGUAGGCGGUUUUAUAAGUUAAUCGUUAAAGACCCCGUGCUCACCAUGGGGAGGGCGGUUGAUACUGUAAGACUGGAAGCGAGUGGGGGAAGACGGAAUUCCUGGUGUAGCGGUGGAAUGCGCAGAUAUCAGGAGGAACACCGAAGGCGAAGGCAGUCUUCUACGCUUGUCUUGACGCUAAACUGCGAAGGUGCGGGUAUCAAACAGCGAUUAGAUACCCUGGUAGUCCGCACAGUAACGAUAAUCACUGGGUGUCGGGGGGAUAUGCCUGUCGGUGCCC